CCGCCCAUAGCUCAGUUGGUUAGAGCACGUAGCUUAUAUCUACGCGGUCUCAGGUUCGAGUCCUGAUGGGCGGA
rnacentral:tRNA from 1 species